CCUAACAGGGCUGCCGAACACCACCAUGGACUAUAGAAGUUUGCUGGUUGCUGUUUUACUGCUGUCUCAGCAUAUCUUCACUGCACAGACAGACAACUAUACGGAGAACAGAUAUACAAGAGCCAUAAGGACAGGGCGCUGUAGUUCCAGGCACUAUUGUAGAACUGAACACGGAUCGAACAAACAUCCAACCUGUGAAAAAAAGUAUCUGACACCUUGUAUGAAGAGAGAGGAACUAUUCAAAUCAUUCGGAGGAAAACUUGUUUUAUGUGACACAGUAACUGAUGGCGGAGCGUGGAUCAUU